ACAUUUCUCACCCAGGCUAUUCCGGAAGAAAACACUAUCCAAACCCUGUGCACUGACAUCCUGCAAUGUCUGGACACCUCAGUCACUGGAAUGACCCAAGUGUUAUGGCCAAGGCUUCUCGAAUAUGUGGUGCCAGCUCAGUACACUGGUACUUUGAAGCCUCUCUGCAGAUGCCUUAGGGAGCUGGCUGAGAAAAAGCAGCAGGAAGGAGAAGAAGCUGCUUCCCUCGACUACGGUGGACCAGUGAAACUCCCUACACCCCAGGGGCUGCUGGCACGACUUCUGGUAGUAGCCUCGUCCUUAUGCAGGAGAAGGACACGGAUGUGCUGCCUUGCAGUUACUACAGGCCCUGCACCAAAAUAUCCAUGCAGCAGUGGGUGAGACGUGGGUAGUAAAGAUCCCAUCUCUGCUGCAGUACAUUGAAGGAAACACAGAAAAUUCCCUGGACCAUGCGCGGUGGGAGCACAUGCUGCUUCAGUUCCUAAGAACAUCUCUGGCGAUGAUAGACGACAGUGCCUGGAGCAGC